CUAACGCAAAACAUCGACUUGCACAGUACAUAAGAAGAAUCACACAUCAUUUACGAAUUAAUUUACAUGAAACCGAAUAUUUCCGUUGAUUUCUGCAUGAUACAUCCAGGUAUUUAGCAGAAUAAAGCACCUCAGAGCCACCUACAGAAAUUCACAGUUAUUAUGCCCCCUGAGUUGAGAUACACUAUGUAGCCUCUCUAUAUAGCAUACUUCUAGAAAAACAAUAAUAAGACUUCCAAAUGCUCGGAAGAGUCACGCCUGGAAUUCUAACUUGGAAGAGUUUCGGGAUAAGGAUCUGGAUCUUGAAGGUUGUCUAAGAUGACAUCGAAGCUGGUAGUAUGCUUUCUCCAAAUGGAUCAGUUCCUGUUACGAAGAACCAGAAUAAAUCUGUUAGGAUUCUGUAUUUUUUACAGCCUGUCCUUAGUUUAUUCGGAAAACGUUAAUAUUAUCAAAGCUUGGAGAGUGGUAUUGUAUUAACUUUCUCUCUUUAUAGAGGUAUAACAUGGGUUCUCAAAUAAAUUCAAUGUUACUCAA